rnacentral:lncRNA from 1 species
AUAUUAAAAUUCAUGGGGUUUUUUUUAUAAAAGAAUCCAAGAAAGCCAUAGCACUUGUUUGAGGAAAAAACUAAACAAAACCAAAACAACCCACAAAACAUUCCAAAGUGAGAGCUGACAGCAAAACAUUUGGGAAUUACAGAUUUACAAGCUCAUCAAGCAGAGUUACAGUGAAAUCUUAAGAGAGUCAGGAGAGGACACCAUCCUCUACCACGUGAGACCAUCCAGAGACAUGUCCCCAGGAGCUUUGCAGUUCAGUUUUGUGACCUGGGUACCACCUGCUUUGAUGCAAGGGUCCUUCCAGCUCCUCAGCCACCGACUGUCUGAUCAAGUGUUUCCAUAGAAAGCUGUUGAUGUGAAGAGUCACCAAUUCAUUUUUCAUUUUGAGCACAAGUCCAUGGCUUUUUUACAAGCAGAAUAUUUGACCAAUAAGUAGUAGUAUUUUCAGGUUUACCUAUUGCAAAUACAAGCUGUAAAAAUCAAUAAGCAAUUUAUGAUUCAAGUAUUUAGACUCCCAAAUGUCAAAAGCUGUAUUCCCUUCUCUCUGAAGAACUGAGCUAAGAGAUAAAAUUCUUGCCUGGACAAAAUUUGGUCUAAUUGUCCCCAACCUCCUGCUUCCACCCUGCUCCAGAACAAGAACAGAAGAAAUUCAUUAUCAUCAGAGCUGAAACUACUACCCGCAUGUUGAAAUGAGUGUGCUGGAAGAGCACAAGCUUUCCACUUGACUUCUGAUCAUCACACUUCUUCAGAUCUGAAGCAUCGAUGUUCCUGUAUGCACUGAGAAAUCAAGCAGGUGAGUAUCAGUGCAGUUAGACCCCCUUCAUAUUCCUACCCACCAGUGAACACACUGCAUCUAUUACAAAUACGUUACUGAGUGGCACACCAAAGCAGUCACACCAAGGGUCUGCAUUCAUCAUUGAAAGCUUUCUGGACCUGUUGCACUUCAUCUAUCUAGAAGCAAAGAACGUAUUUAGCAGGAAACAUCACCAUGUUUUCAUUCCCCAUGGUUACAGUC